GGAGCCUGAGAGCCAACCCGAGGGAGGUUCGCCGCCCGUGGGGCUGCGGCAGUAGAAAAGGACAUUGGCCCGGAGCUGUGCGACGUGGACAAAAGGCGGGUCAGGAGGAGGGAUCCCCGUUGUCUCCCUCCUCCCUGAUAGUGAAUUUACCUCCUGGAGACUACCACUCCCAGUAUGACCCGCGGCAUUGGCUCUGUGCUCCAUCUCUGCCCGGCGCUCUCCCUAUGGCGCGUUGCAUCCUGGAACUUGUAGUCCCCGAGGUCCGUGGGUCGAACCCGGGCUCAGUUCUAUGGAGCCAGGCCCCUGCCCCCUGAGCUUCCAUGCCCUAGGAGCUGGUGAGGAAGUUGCUGACCUCCUGCACACCGUGUUCCUCUGUGGUUGUAGGACGGAGCUUAUAAGACCGGAGCGGUAGUCGGAUCUCUUCCGGCAGGGGAUAUUGGUAAAUAGCAAUAUCUGAAUGAACUGGGUCUAUGACCUCUGUGUGCAUUCUCUCAAGCAUGCUUCUCAGUCGUCAGAGACCUUCCCUGCUUCCAUCCUGAAACCUCUCUGGCAGCUUUAAUGAUGAAGUCAGCUAAAUAAAUAAUACCUGAUAAAACACCUUGUGAUGUUUUGAAAAUCAGUGCAUACUGUAUCUUCAUUGAAUCUCAAAUAUAGCAUCUUGGAAAUUUCCAGAAAUGAGCAAUAAUUGACCCAACCUGCCUGUAAACUAGUUGCUGUAAACAAGAGGUUCCAGAUGAUACCAUGAUGCCAACUCGACUUCCUUGGGCAGAGGACCCCACCAUGUGUCUUGGAGCCCCCACCAUCAGAUCUCUGUCCCACUAGGGAAAGAGAGAGAGGGGCUGGGAGUAUGGACUGAACUGCCAACUGCAGUUGGCAGUUCAGCAGAGAAGCAGUUACAGAAGCCAGACCUUCCACCUUCUGCACCCCACAAUGAUCCUGGGUUCAUACUCCCAGAGGGAUAAAGAAUAGGGAAGCUAUCAAGGGAAGGGAUUGGAUAUGGAGCUCUGGAGGUGGGCACUGUGUGGAAAUGUACCCCUCUUAUGCUAUGGUCUUGUCAGUUUCCAUUUUAUAAAUAAAUU